UCUCCGCAGGAGCAUGCAUACACUCGGCAUCGAUCAUUUGAUUUUGUUUUGCAGGAGUGUCCGUCUGCUCCUGGCCUGUGUAACCCCAUUUACAGGAAUUCCUGGGUUCGAGCCCUGCUGCUGGCUGCUGUGACUGACAUUUUUCGUGUCCCUCCGCUUGCUUGCCAAGGCUCAGUGCCACCCCGGAGAGGCCACGCUCUCCCGUCCUGACCUUCUCCUUUGCUAUUAGCUCAUUGAUCCGCACUGAGAACAUCCAAAUGCUCUCUCCGGCUGAUGGAAGAAGGUGAGGACACCGGGCAGAAGCAGACUCACAAAUGAUCCAAGAGUCAUCCUCCAAGGUCAGACAAACCCAUGCUUGAAUGGUCUUUUUUUCCUGCACAUGUACAAGAUGCAUCACUUCACUCCGGGGAAGACGGCAGCAAAGUCUACGUUUCUGCCACUAGCUACUUCCAGUAAAUCAAAGCAAAUCAGACGCAGAUACCACAGGUUACUAAACUCUUCAGCUGACUUUAUUUUCGCUGUGGGGCAGGUGAUGCAUCUGACUCUAAAAUGUCUUGAUUUGUGUUUCCUCAUGGGGAAAAUCUCAAGCCACUCUUGGUGAUUCCAGUGGAUGUUUCCAUCUCCUGAAGGUUUCUGAUGGUGGCUCUUAGGAGUUGCUUUUGUCAAAAAGUGGUGGGAAGUGGGCAAAGAGACUUUUGUAGCCUUUCCCCUGGACUCCAUCUUGUUAAACAAAGUGGGCAGGAAAAAGCCUUCAGUGUAAUAUAGCCUUAAGAGCUGAUGAUACUGAGGAACCAAAUUACAAAGUGAAAGUCCCUCUGUAACAGGCAUGCACUGACCUGGCUGAGUUUAAGAGGAGUCACAGAGAGCUGGAUUCACUUUUAUCUGAACCAUCGGUGCCCAAGUGAUGGAAAGCAGUGCAGAUACAGGAUCCCAUCUUUCAAAGCAUCUGGGACCUGCCUGAAUUCUGGCUCUGCUCAGUGAUUGAAUUUAAUCCGAGCAGUGAAAACUGCUCAGGAGGGAGGGAGGGGUUACGAACCAGGUUGCAAUUCAUCUUGCAAAACACCUGCAAUGCUAAAGACUCAGGGAGAAGGUUCUGGUUCUGGUUGUACGGCACGACAGCAAAGCAGAGUGUCUCCGUUCAUGACAGCGUAUUGCAGUGUUUGAAUUACCACCUUGAUGAGAGGAAGUUUGUACCUAAAGGGAAGAUGCUGUGUGAAAAACACGACCUGCCUGGAGCAGGGUCGCUGAGUUCACAACAUCAAUAUCUAGUCGGCACCUACAGAUUGUUUCCAAAGCUCAUUAUUUCGGAGAACUGUUGCCCAUGUGAGUGGAACUCAUUACCUGAGAGGCCCGUUAUAUUUUCUAGGCACUGACAAAACGCGGGCAUUGCUUGGCUACCUUAAUUAAUGCAUGAUUACAAACCGAAAUAUAUCAUUUGUAUUCGUAUAUGUUUUCUGGUGCUCUAACUGGAGCCACCGAAAUCCAUCUUUCAGAGAAACCAUCAAAGGCCAAGCAGCCUGAUCCAGCAGGGCAAUUAGAGAUAUUUUUCCCUGUUCAUGCAGAGAACUUAACCUCAACUCUCCAGCAAGACUCCAAGACCAGGUCUGAAACUGCUGCAGCUAGACUGCAGCCUCGCCAGGGUUUGCCCCAUGCCUGUGGUCCUCUGCUGCGGAGGGCCUCCAUCCUCCCAGGGAAAUGAUACCAGCCUCCUCUACCAUGUGCAAACAACCUUGGGAGAAAUACUUCAUAUAUGUGAAGAACUUCUCUGCAACAGCUUGCAUAAUCAAUGAAAUCCCGUAUAUGAAAGGACACCAGCCUAAAUAUUUCAUUACAGGUGCCAACAGCAACACUUCAGGGUGCCCUUGAGGGUCACGUGAGUAUCUGGAGGUAAUGCUGAAUCUAUGAGCAGAUUAUCCAGCAUUGUCCUACUGUGGCCCAUAUCCUUGCACUCCUGAGCAAUAAACACAGGUGAGUGGCGAGGACAAAAACAUUUCCCUUGGCAAGAGUCUAAGCAACUUGGGUUUUUUUAGCCUGUUGCUAUAACUAUGGCUGCAACACGAUGAGACCCAACGGAGGCCCCCAGCAUGGAGCCCCAGGGAGGCUGCAACGGGAGGGAUGAGUGGCAGCAUGUCUCCUCCUAGGACAGACACUUCAGCAACAUCUCAUGGGAAUGGGCAUGUGGGUGUCCCAUCCCUUUCUUCCACUUUAUGAGUGAAACUCCCCAGCCAGGUUUUUCUACCCAGGCAGAUGUCCAGCAUCUAUAGGAUGAGUGACCCCAUGGAGCUGCUUGUUUGUCUCCUCUGACUUUGCAAGGAGCCUGAAAUGACCAGCUUAAACACCCAACUUUUAGAUAGCUGAAGUUAAAUGAGAUGAACUCCACUCUAAGUCUCCAAAAACACACCAGCACACCCAAGACGGACUGCAGUGAGUGGGCUCAGUCGCCUGGGAGAGUGGCUGAGAUGCUGACAUUGCCCCAGGGGCACUGGUGUGGCAUUCCCAAAUGGAAAUAUUUUCAAGUUUUGACUGAUAAUUUUGCAAUGUUCAAUCUUCUUCAUAAAAAAUAUGAAUUUUGUGGGGGAGGAAAAAAACUCUUCUAUUUCCUGACCCAGUGCAAGUUGAGAUCAGAAAUUCUCUUUGACAGCUGUCCUAUAAUCACAAAUGCUGAUUCAUCCAGCAAACACAACCUCCCUGCUGUAAGGCUGUUUCUGGGCCUGAGUGUGAUCCAACAACUUCCUAUGGAGAUGCUCCUUCAAUUUACAGAUCUCUUUCAACAGUCAGUUAAAGCUCCCUUUCACUGACAGCUGGCUUUAAAUCACAGGGGAAAGGUGUAAGACAAGUGUCUCUACUCAUUGUGCCUCAGGACCAAGCCAAGGUGGGAGGUCACCUUAUUGCUGGAACGUGGCCUGUCAAGCUGCUCCAGAGGAGAUGACUUCCCCUGCAAGCACCAAGGCAGCAUGCAGAUGUUUCUGACUUCGCUCCUAAAGCAUGUGGGGUCCUGGAAACCUCCCUGGCACUCUCUGAUCCAUUGCACUACUGCAUUAAAGGACAGAAAAGCCCUUCUUGCCAACAGAGCCUGGGUGCAUGAAUAAACCAUAAGCCACGUAGCCAUACCAGCAGCCUGCUGCUGCUGACAGCGAACCGGACCUUGCCUCGGCUGACCAGGUUGCCUUCAGCUGCCAAGCAGGGCCUGUACAACGGCCCCUCUGCAACACAGCCCGGACUCCCGACUCCACAAUGUGUCUUAAAAUCAUCUUAUGGCACCUCAAUAGGGUGUUACAGGGAUUACUCUGUAUUUGCCCAAGUUAGCACUGCCUUCCUGGGUGCUGCAGGCCAGCAGCUCCUAUUCUUUUGGUGGCUGGACUUCACUGCUGCUGCUUUACCUCCCCUCUCUCCCUCCUCUGAAUAUUGUCUCCUCCGCACCCCUUUUCUCCAUGCUUUCUCCUUUUUCCAUGCUAGGUCCCCAGUGCCAGUUGUCAGUGCCCCUUGUUCCCAAGCCCAACACAGGGUCCCCUUUCACGCCUUUCAGGUGAUGAAGUCCAAAGCUGCUGUGAGCUGUGACUGCAAAAUGCAAGGCCAGAGAAGUGUCCAGCAGAGCUGUGCCCAAACAGCGUAUCCACAGCUGUACAGGGAGCUUAUGGCAGAGCCUGAAGCCUGAGUCUGAUGGCCAGUCUGGGCAACGGCUCAUUAACAGGUCCUGUUAAUGACGUGCUGGAUCUGGUUCUGUGGACUGAAAAGCUGGAAAUGCCUGGAAACAGCCAGAUGCUCCUCUCAGAGCCACAGCACCUCCACAAACUAAAGGGGUUAGUGUGGUUCCUGCUGCUACGGCUGUGCAUAUGCAAUUUUGCAAUACGUUCUUCUGACAGUUUCAUAUCGCUGUAGCAUCUUGCCAUGCUGCCAGAUACCCCACCUGGUAAGGGAACUACGAGCUCCCCAACACUUACGCAGUACUAAUUCCAUAUCUUAACACACGGUUCUGCUGUGUCUCCCAUGGAGAGCAGCAGGAAGAUCCAGGCUAAUGUCUUCAUCUCAUCAGGUUCAAAUGUACCUUGCAAAGGUAGGACGAAGGCACAGCACAGACAAAGACCAGAUGAGAUCCCACCUGCCACCCAGAUACAGCAAUAAGAAGCAGGGGUGCAGCCCUGAACCCAUGCCAAGCCCAUCCUGGUCUGCGUGUCUCGGGGUCGGCCAGAGUGGAAUAUGUGGGAUGUGCUCUGGCUGCUAUCUAGAGGGAACCAAGCAGAUGAGGUCAAUGCUCUGCCUUCGUGCUCCUCAUUACAAAGCUUCCUGGUAAUUGAAGUUAAUAAACUGAAUAAGUGUCACUUCAAUCCCUGCUGUCCCCUCCUUUACCUCUCCUUUCCUUCCCUCCUGUCCUCUUCCUCACAGCCUCAUCUCUUAUUUCACCUCACAUCUCUCUAUCCUCACCUGAAUCCCCAGUUUGGGGUUCUUCUUUAGGAAAUGGGUAAUGUAAUAGGCAUACCAGUUAAGAAAAGAGGUUCUUGCUUUCUCUCUCUCAGGAGACAUUUUCUUUGAACCUGAGACCUCUGCCAUCCUAAGGGCCAGGAGGAUAUAAUAGACGUGCCACCCCCCGCAUCGCUUGGGGAACACGGAGGGUUGUGAGGCUCUUGGUUUGACAUCAGAGCUACGACCACGUGCACCAGAGCAGCUUCUCGGGGUGGCUUGCUGGGCAAGACAGCAUCUGCGCAGGCCUUCAGCCAGCUGCAGGCACCAACCAGACCAGCUAAGCCCCUUCUUCAGAGGGCAGUUUUGAGAAGGAUGUAAAUACUAGUUCUCUGAUUAACGCUCUGAAAACAUCUUCCUUCCCCUUGACUGUAGCGGGGGAAGAGAGAGCCUGGGGUGGUGAAGGUACGGAAAGCCUGGGAUGGUGAAAUUCCUGAUUCCACCAGCUCUGUAAGGUGCCUGCAGUGCUCUGAAUGCCCCAGGCUGCUUCCAGCUAUAUGCAGAUACGGCAAACUGGGGAAAUGCCUUUAUUUUUAUUUCCAGUGACUUGGUUUCAUUCCUGAGUUUCGUAUCGCUUCCUGCCAGACUGCUCGGAGUUAAAUCCAAGGAAGCUGUAAAACAGUUGCUGAAGAAUUAAGCAAGAAAGGUAAAGCAGACGCAGAUAAAACAGCCUCCGGUACACAGCUUCAAAGGAUUGCAGAGAACAGCGGCUGGACUGUCGAGGAGGGGAGGAUUUAGGGCCAGCUUCACCUGGGCCACGAUGUCCUACCCUUUCCUCACAUCAAAGA